rnacentral:rRNA from 1 species
GCUAACUCCGGGCAAGCAGCCGCGGUAAUACGGAGGGUGCAAGCGUUAUCCGGAUUCACUGGGUUUAAAGGGUGCGUAGGCGGACAGGUAAGUCAGUGGUGAAAUCUCUGGGCUUAACUCAGAAACUGCCGUUGAUACUAUUUGUCUUGAAUAUUCUGGAGGUAAGCGGAAUAUGUCAUGUAGCGGUGAAAUGCUUAGAUAUGACAUAGAACACCGAUAGCGAAGGCAGCUUACUACAGAAUGAUUGACGCUGAGGCACGAAAGCGUGGGGAGCAAACAGGAUUAGAUACCCCGGUAGUC